rnacentral:rRNA from 1 species
AACGAACGCUGGCGGCAUGCCUAACACAUGCAAGUCGAACGAGACCUUCGGGUCUAGUGGCGCACGGGUGCGUAACGCGUGGGAACCUGCCCUUAGGUUCGGAAUAACUCCCCGAAAGGGGUGCUAAUACCGGAUAAUGUCUUCGGACCAAAGAUUUAUCGCCUUUGGAUGGGCCCGCGUUGGAUUAGCUAGUUGGUAGGGUAAAAGCCUACCAAGGCGACGAUCCAUAGCUGGUCUGAGAGGAUGAUCAGCCACACUGGGACUGAGACACGGCCCAGACUCCUACGGGAAGCAGCAGUGGGGAAUAUUGGACGAUGGGCGAAAGCCUGAUCCAGCAAUGCCGCGUGAGUGAUGAAGGCCUUAGGGUUGUAAAGCUCUUUUACCCGGGAUGAUAAUGACAGUACCGGGAGAAUAAGCGCCGGCUAACUACGUG